rnacentral:rRNA from 1 species
GAUGAACGCUGGCGGCGUGCCUAAUACAUGCAAGUCGAGCGAACGGACGAGAAGCUUGCUUUUCUGAUGUUAGCGGCGGACGGGUGAGUAACACGUGGAUAACCUACCUAUAAGCCUGGGAUAACUUCGGGAAACCGGAGCUAAUACCGGAUAAUAUUUUGAACCGCAUGGUUCAAAAGUGAAAGACGCACUUGCUGUCACUUAUAGAUGGAUCCGCGCUGCAUUAGCUAGUUGGUAAGGUAACGGCUAACCAAGCGAACGAUGCAUAGCCGACCGGAGAGGGUGAUCGGCCACACUGGAACUGAGAAACGGUCCAGACUCCUACGGGAGGCAGCAGUAGGGAAUCUUCCGCAAUGGGCGAAAGCCUGACGGAGCAACGCCGCGUGAGUGAUGAAGGUCUUCGGAUCGUAAAACUCUGUUAUUAGGGAAGAACAUAUGUGUAAGUAACUGUGCACAUCUUGACGGUACCUAAUCAGAAAGCCACGGCUAACUACGUG